rnacentral:rRNA from 1 species
UACAAACAAGUCGAAUUAAGUUUUGGCGGUAAAAAAGGAAGUAAGAAAUUAACGCAAUUUCGGAAGUUUAGCUUUGUAUGUGGGGGUGGAAUCUGUGCAUAUAAAAUUAUAUUUAAUACUUCUUUUUGUUUGAUGCUUUGAAAAUUUAGUUGGAGACCGGGAUUAGAUACCCCGUUAUUUAUUUUUUAAAUUUUGAUUAAUAUAGUUAGUUUACCGGAGUAUUACGGGUCGCUUAAAGAUAGUCUUAGUAAUAGGACUUAGUUUAAUUGGAUACUUAGAACUCAAAAAACUUGGCGGUGCCUUAUUUCCUUCCAGGGGAACCUGUCCUGUAAUCGAUGGUCCACGAUUUAACUUGCUUUUCUUGGAAAUACUGCUAUAGCAGUAGUCAGUUUGUAUACCGUCGUCGUCAGAUUACCUUUAAGAGAUAAGAAGUUGUCACGUAAAGUAAGGAAGAUUUAAUAUGAAUUAAUCAUUCUUUUUUAGAUGUCAGAUCAAGGUGCAGCUUAUAGAAAAGUAGAGAUGGGUUACAAUAUUUAUUUAAUAUCAUGGAUACUAACUUGUAAAUGUUAGGUGAAAGUGGACUUGGGAGUAAUUUAAUUUUUAACAUAAGUAGCGAGUUUUUGUGAAUAGAGGUACUAAGGUGCGU